rnacentral:rRNA from 2 species
UGCAGUCGAACGAGCUUCCGUUGAAUGACGUGCUUGCACUGAUUUCAACAAUGAAGCGAGUGGCGAACUAGGUGAGUAACACGUGGGGAAUCUGCCCAGAAGCAGGGGAUAACACUUGGAAACAGGUGCUAAUACCGUAUAACAACAAAAUCCGCAUGGAUUUUGUUUGAAAGGUGGCUUCGGCUAUCACUUCUGGAUGAUCCCGCGGCGUAUUAGUUAGUUGGUGAGGUAAAGGCCCACCAAGACGAUGAUACGUAGCCGACCUGAGAGGGUAAUCGGCCACAUUGGGACUGAGACACGGCCCAAACUCCUACGGGAGGCAGCAGUAGGGAAUCUUCCACAAUGGACGAAAGUCUGAUGGAGCAAUGCCGCGUGAGUGAAGAAGGGUUUCGGCUCGUAAAACUCUGUUGUUAAAGAAGAACACCUUUGAGAGUAACUGUUCAAGGGUUGACGGUAUUUAACCAGAAAGCCACGGCUAACUACGUGCCAGCAGCCGCGGUAAUACGUAGGUGGCAAGCGUUGUCCGGAUUUAUUGGGCGUAAAGCGAGCGCAGGCGGUUUUUUAAGUCUGAUGUGAAAGCCUUCGGCUUAACCGGAGAAGUGCAUCGGAAACUGGGAGACUUGAGUGCAGAAGAGGACAGUGGAACUCCAUGUGUAGCGGUGGAAUGCGUAGAUAUAUGGAAGAACACCAGUGGCGAAAGCGGCUGUCUAGUCUGUAACUGACGCUGAGGCUCGAAAGCAUGGGUAGCGAACAGGAUUAGAUACCCUGGUAGUCCAUGCCGUAACGAUGAGUGCUAGUGUUGAGGGUUUCCGCCCUCAGUGCUGCAGCUACGCAUAGCACUCGCUGGAGUACGACGCAGUGAACUCAAGAUGA